UGGAGGGCAAGUCUGGUGCCAGCAGCCGCGGUAAUUCCAGCUCCAAUAGCGUAUAUUAAAGUUGUUGCAGUUAAAAAGCUCGUAGUUGAAUUUCGGGGUUAGUAGGUUGGUCAUGCCUCUGGUAUGUACUGGUCUCACUGAUUCCUCCUUCCUGAUGAACCGUAAUGCCAUUAAUUUGGUGUUGCGGGGAAUUUGGACUGUUACUUUGAAAAAAUUAGAGUGUUUAAAGCAAGCUAACGCUUGAAUACAUUAGCAUGGAAUAAUGAAAUAGGACGUUCGAUCCUAUUUUGUUGGUUUCUAGGAUUGACGUAAUGAUUAAUAGGGAUAGUUGGGGGCAUUAGUAUUCAAUUGUCAGAGGUGAAAUUCUUGGAUUUAUUGAAGACUAACUACUGCGAAAGCAUUUGCCAAGGAUGUUUUCAUUAAUCAAGAACGAAAGUUAGGGGAUCGAAGACGAUCAGAUACCGUCGUAGUC
rnacentral:rRNA from 1 species